rnacentral:rRNA from 1 species
GAUGAACGCUAGCUACAGGCUUAACACAUGCAAGUCGAGGGGAAACGACAUUGGAAGCUUGCUUCCGAUGGGCGUCGACCGGCGCACGGGUGAGUAACGCGUAUCCAACCUGCCCAUCACUUGGGGAUAACCUUGCGAAAGUAAGACUAAUACCCGAUGAUAUCCCUAUAAGACAUCUGAAAGGGAUUAAAGAUUUAUCGGUGAUGGAUGGGGAUGCGUCUGAUUAGCUUGUUGGCGGGGUAACGGCCCACCAAGGCAACGAUCAGUAGGGGUUCUGAGAGGAAGGUCCCCCCACAUUGGAACUGAGACACGGUCCAAAACUCCUACGGGAGGCAGCAGUGAGGAAUAUUGGUCAAUGGACGAGAGUCUGACCAGCCAAGUAGCGUGCAGGAUGACGGCCCUAUGGGUUGUAAACUGCUUUUAUAAGGGAAUAAAGUGAGUCUCGUGAGACUUUUUGCAUGUACCUUAUGAAUAGGACCGGCUAAUUCCGUGCCAGCAGCC